GAAGCUAACGAGUGUACAUAUGAAAACAUUGGAGCGAUAAAGAGAAGAUUAGCAUGGCCCCUGCGCAAGGAUGACACGCACAAUCGUGAAGUUAAAAAACAGACA